GAUGAAGAACGUAGCGAAAUGCGAUAAGUAAUGUGAAUUGCAGAAUUCAGUGAAUCAUCGAAUCUUUGAACGCACAUUGCGCCCGCCAGCACUCUGGCGGGCAUGCCUGUUCGAGCGUCAUUUCAACCAUCAAGCCCCCAGAGGCUUGUGCUGGGGCCCUGCGGCUGCCCGCAGGCCCUGAAAACCAGUGGCGGGCUCGCUAGUCACACCGAGCGCAGUAGCACAUCUCGCUCAGGGCGUGCGGCGGGCUCCUGCCGUGAAACCCCCCACUGUAACCCCAAAGGUUGACCUCGGAUCAGGUAGGAAUACCCGCUGAACUUAAGCAUAUCAAUAAGCGGAGGA
rnacentral:misc_RNA from 1 species